CAGUAGCCGCGGUAAUACAGAGGGUGCGAGCGUUAAUCGGAUUUACUGGGCGUAAAGCGUGCGUAGGCGGCUUCUUAAGUCGGAUGUGAAAUCCCUAAGCUUAACUUAGGAAUUGCAUUCGAUACUGGGAAGCUAGAGUAUGGGAGAGGAUGGUAGAAUUCCAGGUGUAGCGGUGAAAUGCGUAGAGAUCUGGAGGAAUACCGAUGGCGAAGGCAGCCAUCUGGCCUAAUACUGACGCUGAGGUACGAAAGCAUGGGGAGCAAACAGGAUUAGAUACCCCUGUAGUCCCUGUCUCUUAUAC
rnacentral:rRNA from 1 species